AUACUUUCCUUGUGCCGGGGCCUCGCUGAUCGCCGAGGGAGAGCCUCCUGAGCGAGGCACGGGCAUUGUACUGCGCUCGCGUUGACCCCUGCCCCUACCGCCAACUGGGACGGAUGGGGCAUGUAAAUUGC
rnacentral:snRNA from 1 species